UGAGGAAUCUGUCGUAUCUUUCGAUAGCUUCGCAGCUAACAGGACUUUCUUUUGAUACGUCUCAAGGUAGCGCGUCUUUAAAAUCGGCACAGGAAAUCCUUUCAGCACGUGACCCUGUUAGCAGAGGAAACACCGUCCCCACUGACCUCAUCAGCAGUAAGUGGAAACCGACCUGUACAGCAGACAAUACAGUGAGCAAAAUCUCAUGCUGUGAGUGUAGACAAGGAGUUAUCUGCUUCCAAAACACCUGGAGAAAAUGAGGAGCUCCACAAGGAUCACAAAACUGUUUUAAACUCGCUUGUAUUUGCUCUAUUCCUGUUCUGUGAUGACAUAGUGAGACCAUCUUCCCUGUAUGUGUGUGUGUGUUUGCUGCUGCAGCCCAGCCUCUGCCUGCUGCAGCCCCACCAGCAGAGGUCUCACAGGAGGCAGCGGGGUUUAGGAAGCCUCAGUGUGACCCCCCGAAGCCCACCUGCCCACGAUGCGGCCUCACAGUCCCAGACCACAGUCUGCCCACUUCCCCCGCCGGCCUGAGCCGACUGCAGGGCUCCUGCUGCUCGUCGGUGCACGGCAGCAGCAGGAGGAGCAGGGGGAGCGUGCAGGGCUCACACCGGCCCACUGCUCCACCAGCUGACUGUUGUUUACACCUGCUGCUGGCGUGCCUGUCGUGCCAGUGCUCCGUGCUGCUCCUGGGUCUGUUGGAGGCCUGUUCCUCCUGCCUCCACACCCUGUGCUCCUCCUGCUGCAACGCCUGCGCCCGUUGCUGUUCGGCCAUCCAGGAGGUGCCCCUGGAGGAGCUCAACUGCCACGCCCACUGCCACUCGGUGAUGUUCGAGUCUUGCUGCGAGCCAACCGAGUGUCUGGAGUUUUGUCUGGAGUGCUGCGAGAUCUGCCAUCGCAGCUAGGAGGCAGCUGGACCACCAGGCCUGAGGACUAAUGUAGAAGACACUGAAACGUGGGAUUCAUUUCUUGUGACAGCUGCCAAACUCAACAACUACUUAUUCUCACUAAAACAAAAGAGGGAAGAUUUGACUUUAGUGCUUCACGCUUUUCUUCAGUAAAAGGGAUUUUAAGUGUGACCUAGAACAUUUUUCAAUAAGCAAAACAUUUUGGGAAAACUCACAUUUCUUAUGACUAUGAAUCCUGGAAGACUCCCAACAUCUCUAAGGCUCACGAAUGUUUGUUUAAUCUACACACCAACAGAAAUAUGUAGUUACGUGCUGUUGCUCUACGUAACUCCACACAUUUGUACACUUCUGUUUGCGUACAGAUUGAACAUUAAACAGAUACAGAGUGUGAAUUAUUGAGGUUUAGAUGCACUGAUAGGCCCAUUUCCAAACUUUGGACACAUCCAGGCUAGCUGUUUCCCACACUUCCAGUCUUUAUGCUAAGCUAAGCUAAGCUAAACUAAGCUAAGCUAAGCUAAUCACCUGCAUACUUACACUUAUUCCCUUUUUUGCAGAGAGUAAUAUGAUAAGGUUGAUACCACUCUCAUAUUGUCACGAGACAAUUAGCUCACAGGCUGGGAAACACAUCUGCAUAGCAGAACCUCUAGAGCUCAGCAAACUACAAGUACAAGGACCAAAGUGUAAAAACAACAUUCACAGAGGGUUAUUUAGUCCACUAUUACAUGACAUGGAGUCUUGUCGUGCCCACGAGGUCCACCUGUUUCCAGUCUUCAUGCUAAGACGGUGGUGUACAUCUUCGUAUCGAACUCUCUGCAACAUGAAGUGCGUUCUCAGAUCUUUGUAACCUCGCUGAGAACCUAAAGGAACAGAUACAUUAUGUAUCUCCUGGUUAAUUUUGUGUAAAAGAGAUUUGAUUUGAAAUAUUUAAAGAAAUGUGUCAAGGUCAUUUGUUCUGCUUGUUAAAGAUCUUGGCUGAAUAACAUUGAAGCCAGAGCUGGACUCAUUGAUACUCUGCUGCACAACCAAAUGGUGUUUUUUGAUUAACAAGCACAGAAACUUGCUGCACUCAUUUGUUUUAUUAUAUAAAAAAGACAUACAAUUAACAUAUGCACAGCCUCUUUGUGUGGCACUCGUCAAAAGGAUAAAACACAACAAUAGCUUAUUGUGCAUUUAAGAUACAGGUUUUAUUCUUCAGAAAUAAAGCUUUUUGUUUGUACAUCAAGUUGCAUUUAAUGAAUUUGACCCAGUAAGACCCGGAACGAGAGGCGGCGACCUCUCGGCUCAGUUGUAUGCGGGUUCUCAUGUUAUAAGAUUGCAGGUUUGACUUCUCCCCGCGCAGCUCUUUGCAGCUGAGGAACAGGGCGACAAAAAACUUGUCAGCUCUCUCUUGAAUCCCUUUUCAUAUUUGUCAUAUAAAGCACUUAGAACAUAAAAGGAUGCUUAUUCUCUCCACAUCUGCGAAGAUUGAAGUCGGCUCCUUUAAAGUCGUCGCGUGAGAUGACAGCAGAGAAGCAGAGCAAACAGCCAAAAAUAAAACAAAGCGGCGAUAAAGACAACGCUGUCAAUCUGUCCGGGCGAGCCAAGAGGCUCAUUUAAAUCAUGUUAGAGCGAGUAAAUCCAAUUUAAGUAUCUCUUUUGCCCACAACACAUUCGGAUUCUGCUAGUGACAAGAAACAGCGGUGACGUCCAAUUUAGAGCAUGGCGAGCACACACCAACAAAUAAACACUCAGGUUUGUUCCACUUGUCCCCCUCAAUUUGUUCUACCCUUUACCCGCAGCUGGUGUCUACCUCCACACAUCACAAACAGCUGAUAUUAGUGAAUUCAGAAUCCUCAUAUGUUGCAGACACACAGUAAUACAUUGUUGUACGAGGGAUGUAUGUAUUUGCCUUUGUGACAGAAGCCUCGCUUCGUCGAACCACAUGACCAAACUGUCUUGUUCGUAGAUGAAUCAUUGAAGUCGUUCAAGAAGAGAAGAACAAACUGCUUCUCUGUCUUUUAUGGGUCAGAAAAUCUUCAAUAUAUCUUUAAUCAUAAGAUAAUAAGAGUAAUCAUCACAUUGGGCUUGGAGAAAUUGUGAAUUAAAAAAUGAAUUAGAUUAAUUAAUAUUCUAUAAUAA
ensembl:lncRNA myoD family inhibitor domain-containing protein-like